AUUGAACGCUGGCGGCAGGCCUAACACAUGCAAGUCGAGCGGAGCGGCGGACGGGCGAGUAAUGCCUAGGAAUCUGCCUGGUAGUGGGGGAUAACGUCCGGAAACGGGCGCUAAUACAGCAUACUAUCAGAGGAGCCGAGGGGGGAUUCGCUAGUUGGUGGGGUAAAGGCCUACCAGGGCGACGAUCCGUAACUGGUCUGAGCGGAUGAUCAGUCACACUGGAACUGAGACACGGUCCAAACUCCUAGGGUAGGCAGCAGUGGGGAAUAUUGGACAAUGGGCGAAAGCCUGAUCCAGCCAUGCCGCGUGUGUGAAGAAGGUCUUCGGAUUGUAAAGCACUUUAAGUUGGGAGGCGUUACCAGCAGAAUAAGCACCGGCUAACUUCGUGCCAGCAGCCGCGGUAAUAC
rnacentral:rRNA from 1 species